UAGGGAAUCUUCGGCAAUGGGGGGAACCCUGACCGAGCAACGCCGCGUGAGUGAAGAAGGUUUUCGGAUCGUAAAGCUCUGCUGUUAAGGAAGAACGAGUGUGAGAAUGGAAAGUUCAUACUGUGACGGUACUUAACCAGAAAGGGACGGCUAACUACGUGCCAGCAGCCGCGGUAAUACGUAGGUCCCGAGCGUUGUCCGGAUUUAUUGGGCGUAAAGCGAGCGCAGGCGGUUAGAUAAGUCUGAAGUUAAAGGCAGUGGCUCAACCAUUGUAGGCUUUGGAAACUGUUUAACUUGAGUGCAGAAGGGGAGAGUGGAAUUCCAUGUGUAGCGGUGAAAUGCGUAGAUAUAUGGAGGAACACCGGUGGCGAAAGCGGCUCUCUGGUCUGUAACUGACGCUGAGGCUCGAAAGCGUGGGGAGCGAACAGG
rnacentral:rRNA from 1 species